rnacentral:rRNA from 1 species
GACGAACGCUGGCGGCGUGCUUAACACAUGCAAGUCACGGGGGCCCGCAAGGGUAACCGGCGAACGGCUGCGUAACACCUGAGCAAUCUGCCGUCCACUAGGGGCUAGCCGCCCCAACGGCCGGGUAAUACCCCAUACGCUUUCCGGGUUGCAUCACUUGGCAAGGUAACCUCCGGGGGUGGGCGAGGAGGUCGGGGCCUAUCAGCUCGUUGGUGGGGUCACGGCCCAGCAAGGCGAUGACGGGUAGCUGGGCUGAGAGGAGGGCCAGGAACAUUGGGACUGAGAUACGGCCUGGACUACUACGCGGGGCAGUAGGGGGGAAAGUUGCGCAAUGGACGGAAGGCUGACGCAGCGCCGCAGCGUGGGGCAUGAAGCGCUUGGGUGUGUAAACCGCUGUGGCCCGGGACGAACCUCCCCUUUCGAGGUGAGUGACGGUACCGGGUGAGGAAGCACCGGCUAACUCCGUG